CCAAAUCACCAGGACACAGGGGUUGCAGAGUGCAAACAGCAAUUGCCACUGCAUCCCCUGUGUCCUGGUGAUUUUGU
rnacentral:pre_miRNA from 1 species